rnacentral:rRNA from 1 species
CAGCCGCCGCGGUAAAACGUAGGGGGCAAGCGUUAUCCGGAAUUACUGGGUGUAAAGGGAGCGUAGACGGUUAAACAAGUCUGAAGUGAAAUGCCGGGGCUCAACCCCGGAGCUGCUUUGGGAACUGUAGAACUGGAGUGUCGGAGGGGUAAGCGGAAUUCCCAGUGUAGCGGUGAAAUGCGUAGAUAUUGGGAGGAACACCGGCGGCGAAGGCGGCUUACUGGACGACAACUGACGUUGAGGCCCGAAGGCGUGGGUAGCAAACAGGAUUAGAUACCCCUGUAGUCCCUGUCUCUUAUAC